UGCAUGGGGCGGAGCGGCCCGGCCGAGCGAUCCGUGCAGCGGGAUGCAGCGGGCCGAGGCCCGGCCACGUCAGCACCCCGAGGGGGCUGCCCCGGGGGGCGGAAGCGGCGGGGAGCGGGCAGCUGCAGCGGCCGCGGGAGCCAUGGACCCCACGAGGCUGCUGUUUCAGGAGCCUUCCCUCUACACAGUCAAGGCCAUAUUCAUCUUGGACAAUGAUGGACAGCGACUCUUAGCCAAGUACUACGACGACACCUUUCCAUCCACGAAAGAACAGAAGACCUUUGAGAGGAGCGUUUUCAAUAAAACCCACAAAACUGACAGUGAGAUCGCCUUUCUGGAGGGGCUAACCAUUGUCUAUAAAAGCAGCAUCGACCUCUUUUUCUACGUGGUGGGGAGUUCCCAGGAAAAUGAGCUGAUGCUAGUGGCAGUUCUCACCUGUCUCUUCGACUCCCUCAAUCACAUGUUACGGAAGAAUGUAGAGAAGCGCUCCCUGCUGGACAACCUGGACGGGGCGUUCCUCGUGGUGGAUGAGAUCGUCGAUGGGGGGGUGAUUCUGGAGAGCGAUCCUCAGCAAGUGAUCCAGAAGGUGAACUUCAGGACGGUCUCGGAGCCGGCGGCGUACGGGUUUGUUCUCUUUGAUUACAUCGCCAGUAACUCAAAGCAAAGUGAAUCCGUGCCUGCCAGCGGUGGCAAAUAGGCAGCGGCCAGCUGGGAAGCAGGUGGACGACAGCCCUCUGUCUGAGCAAAGCGUUGCCCAGGUUCUGCAAUCUGCCAAAGAGCAAAUUAAAUGGUCCUUAUUAAAGUGAACGUCCCAGAGGAGAGCGCCUGGAUCCUCCCGAUUGGAUGGGUCUGAACUGCGACGGCAAAUGAUUCCUCGCCUUAUUCGAUUAGCCGUUUGCAAAUUGGCAUGAAAAGUCUGAUAAAAGCUUUUGGGUAGGAUGCAAGAUGGCUGACAUUGGCCGCGCCUCCUGGGGGAACGCCAGCCUUCCACGGACACGGGUUUAAACCCGGUCUUGGUACCGUGUAACUCUCUGCAUGCUAAAGGGGAGGGUGGGGGUUGGGAGAAUUAACUGGUUAACAGACCAAAUUCUGCUCCUUAAACCAGUGUAAAUGAGGAGUGACGUCGAUGGGGUUAUUUCAGAUUGACAGUGGUGUAACUGAGCAGAACCUGGCCCAAGAUCCAUAAAGAACUCCAGAACUCCU